rnacentral:rRNA from 1 species
CCUACGGGAGGCAGCAGUGGGGAAUUUUGGACAAUGGGCGCAAGCCUGAUCCAGCCAUGCCGCGUGCGGGAAGAAGGCCUUCGGGUUGUAAACCGCUUUUGUCAGGGAAGAAAUCCCUUGAGCUAAUACCUCGGGGGGAUGACGGUACCUGAAGAAUAAGCACCGGCUAACUACGUGCCAGCAGCCGCGGUAAUACGUAGGGUGCAAGCGUUAAUCGGAAUUACUGGGCGUAAAGCGUGCGCAGGCGGUUAUGUAAGACAGGUGUGAAAUCCCCGGGCUUAACCUGGGAACUGCACUUGUGACUGCAUAGCUUGAGUGCGGCAGAGGGGGAUGGAAUUCCGCGUGUAGCAGUGAAAUGCGUAGAUAUGCGGAGGAACACCGAUGGCGAAGGCAAUCCCCUGGGCCUGCACUGACGCUCAUGCACGAAAGCGUGGGGAGCAAACAGGAUUAGAUACCCUGGUAGUCCACGCCCUAAACGAUGUCAACUGGUUGUUGGACGGCUUGCUGUUCAGUAACGUAGCUAACGCGUGAAGUUGACCGCCUGGGGAAGUCGGCCGCAAGGUUGAAACGUUAAAGGAAUUGACGG